rnacentral:misc_RNA from 1 species
AACCUUAUGGACCUGCGGGCGUAUACCUGCGGAAGGAUCAUUACAGAGUUGCAAAACUCCCACAAACCAUCGCGAAUCUUACCCGUACGGUUGCCUCGGCGCUGGCGGUCCGGAAGGCCCUCGGGCCCCCGGACCCUCGGGUCUCCCGCUCGCGGGAGGCUGCCCGCCGGAGUGCCGAAACCAAACUCUUGAUAUUUUUAUGUCUCUCUGAGUAAACUUUUAAAUAAGUCAAAACUUUUA